rnacentral:rRNA from 1 species
GACGAACGCUGGCGGCGUGCUUAACACAUGCAAGUCGAACGGAAAGGCCCUGCUUGCAGGGUACUCGAGUGGCGAACGGGUGAGUAACACGUGGGUGAUCUGCCCUGCACUUCGGGAUAAGCCUGGGAAACUGGGUCUAAUACCGGAUAGGAGCCAUUUUUAGUGUGAUGGUUGGAAAGUUUUUUCGGAGUAGGAUGAGCUCGCGGCCUAUCAGCUUGUUGGUGGGGUAAUGGCCUACCAAGGCGGCGACGGGUAGCCGGCCUGAGAGGGUGGACGGCCACAUUGGGACUGAGAUACGGCCCAGACUCCUACGGGAGGCAGCAGUGGGGAAUAUUGCACAAUGGGCGCAAGCCUGAUGCAGCGACGCCGCGUGGGGGAUGACGGCCUUCGGGUUGUAAACUCCUUUCGCUAGGGACGAAGCUUUUUGUGACGGUACCUAGAUAAGAAGCACCGGCUAACUACGUG